UGGCCUUGGACUAAUUCCUAACACACCUGCUUUCUGUUGCAGCUGACCACCCACGCCCAGGUGACCUCUGCCCACCCUCGAAGGAUGGGGAUGCAUCAGGCCCAAGGGCUACCAAUGACUUGGUUCUGCGCCGGGCGCGGCACCAGCAGAUGUCGGGGGAUGCGGCAGUAGAGAAGAGGCCUUCUCGAACUGGGGGCAAAGUCAUCAAAUCAGCCUCAGCCACUGCCUUAUCUGUCAUGAUUCCUGCAGUGGACCCACAUGGAAGUUCACCCCUUGCUAGUCCCAUGUCUCCACGAUCUCUGUCCUCCAACCCAUCCUCACGGGACUCCUCACCCAGCCGGGACUACUCACCAGCUGUCAGUGGGCUCCGCUCCCCCAUCACCAUCCAGCGCUCGGGCAAGAAGUAUGGCUUCACACUGCGUGCCAUCCGUGUCUACAUGGGUGACACGGAUGUCUAUAGUGUCCACCACAUUGUCUGGCACGUGGAGGAAGGAGGCCCAGCCCAGGAGGCAGGACUCUGUGCUGGGGACCUCAUCACCCACGUGAAUGGGGAGCCUGUACAUGGCAUGGUGCAUCCUGAGGUCGUGGAGCUGAUCCUUAAGAGUGGCAACAAGGUAGCAGUGACCACAACGCCCUUCGAAAAUACCUCUAUCCGCAUUGGUCCCGCAAGGCGCAGCAGCUACAAGGCUAAAAUGGCUCGGAGGAACAAGCGACCCUCCGCCAAGGAGGGCCAGGAGAGCAAGAAGCGCAGCUCCCUCUUCCGGAAGAUCACGAAGCAGUCGAACCUGCUGCAUACUAGCCGCUCGCUGUCGUCGCUGAACCGCUCGCUGUCAUCCAGCGAUAGUCUCCCGGGCUCGCCUACGCACGGGCUGCCGGCGCGCUCGCCCACGCACAGCUACCGCUCCACGCCUGACUCCGCCUACCUAGGCGCCUCAUCCCAGAGCAGCUCCCCAGCAUCG
rnacentral:sRNA from 1 species